rnacentral:ribozyme from 1 species
GUUUUUUUUUUUUUUUUUUUUUUUUUUUUUUUUUUUUUUUUUUCCAACACGUGCCA